rnacentral:rRNA from 1 species
UACAGAGGUCUCAAGCGUUGUUCGGAUUCAUUGGGCGUAAAGGGUGCGUAGGUGGCGCCGUAAGUCGGGUGUGAAAUUUCGGAGCUUAACUCCGAAAUUGCAUUCGAUACUGCCGUGCUCGAGGACUGGAGAGGAGACUGGAAUUCAUGGUGUAGCAGUGAAAUGCGUAGAGAUCAUGAGGAAGACCAGUGGCGAAGGCGGGUCUCUGGACAGUUCCUGACACUGAGGCACGAAGGCCAGGGGAGCAAACGGG